AGUACGAUCGCAAGAUUAAAACUCAAAGGAAUUGACGGGGCCCCGCACAAGCAGCGGAGCAUGCGGCUUAAUUCGACGCAACGCGAAGAACCUUACCAAGGCUUGACAUAUAGGGAAAAGUGGCAGAGAUGUCAUGUCCGCAAGGGCUCUAUACAGGUGGUGCAUGGUUGUCGUCAGCUCGUGUCGUGAGAUGUUGGGUUAAGUCCCGCAACGAGCGCAACCCUCGUUCUGUGUUGCCAGCAUUUAGUUGGGGACUCACAGGAGACUGCCGGGGUUAACUCGGAGGAAGGUGGGGAUGACGUCAAAUCAUCAUGCCCCUUAUGUCUUGGGCUGCACGCAUGCUACAAUGGCCGGUACAGAGGGCUGCAAUACCGUAAGGUGGAGCGAAUCCCAAAAAGCCGGUCUCAGUUCGGAUUGAGGUCUGCAACUCGACCUCAUGAAGUUGGAGUUGCUAGUAAUCGUAGAUCAGCAACGCUACGGUGAAUACGUUCCCGGGGCUUGUACACACCGCCCGUCACGUCACGAAAGUCGGUAACACCCAAAGUCAGUGGCCCAACCGCAAGGGGGGAGCUGCCUAAGGUGGGAUCGGUGAUUGGGACG
rnacentral:rRNA from 1 species